AACUCCAGCCUCUAUACGUGAACGACACGGAGAAGUAAUCCGCGAAAAUCUCAACGAUUUUGUUAGCGUUUGCCACGGAUUUUUCGACCUAUAAAUACCCCCAAAUCUUCUCUAUUUUAUUCCCCUAAAAUCCCCAAUUUUUGCGCCGCCAGGCUGCGCAAAUUUCUCGCCGGAGUUCGCGGCGGCGCCGCCGCCAUCGCUGAGCUUCGAAGACCACUAAGAAGCCGGAAAUUGUCGUCGGAGUUGUGCUGAAGACAAGAACGAUCAGCAGAGUGUGCCGCCCGGUGUUGUCGUCGUCCCGUCGUAGCCGUCGUUCAGGAUCGCGAGAACCGUCGCCAAGAACACCGCCGGUACUGCCAGUGUCCGCCGCAUCGCUCAGACCACGUCACCGCCGUUGCAAAUCAUCCGGAGACGCCCGCCCGAGCCAUCACCUUGCCGCGUCUGUGCCACAAUUGCCCGGAUUGCAACGAGUGUGAUUGCGACGAUUGUGUGAACACCGACCAAGGCAAGUGUCACAAACUCAAUAUCCUACUAUUUUCUAUGCAUUGGUAGUUGUUUUAUGUGCAUACUAUUUUCAAAUUGCUGGCCCUGGGAUAUUAUCAAAGUGGAGAGGUUGCGAGAGAUAAAUGUUUUAUUCUCUUAAUGAAAACAACCAUGUCAAAUUAAUACACCCCUGGGUGGUAAGUGGUAAUGCUUGGUUUAUGUUGAGUGGUUGCACCGGGGUCAUUUCUAUGGCAGCACCGUGUGCAUCACACUUGAGGUUGGCCACCCAGGAACAA